CCCUUAGAUGUUCUGGGCCGCACGCGCGCUACACUGACGACGGCAACGAGUUUUCCUUCGCCGAAAGGUGUGGGUAAUCUUUUGAAACAUCGUCGUGCUGGGGAUAGAUCAUUGCAAUUUUUGAUCUUGAACGAGGAAUUCCUAGUAAGCGCGAGUCAUCAGCUCGCGUUGAUUACGUCCCUGCCCUUUGUACACACCGCCCGUCGCUACUACCGAUUGAAUGGUUUAGUGAGGACUCCUGAUUGGCGCCGCCGCCCCGACAACGGAGCAGCGGACUGCCGAAAAGUUGUUCAAACUUGAUCAUUUAGAGGAAGUAAAAGUCGUAACA
rnacentral:rRNA from 1 species